UGCCUUCAUAAGUGAAGUGCUUCUGAGGACGCGCAGUCCUGUUUUCUCGUGAUAAUUUUCGUCUCUUUUGUGUCGCUGUUUGUGUGCAUGGGGUGAUUGGUCAUAAUAAUCGAAUAAUGCCUUCAUAAGUGCAGUGCUUCUGGGGACGCGCAGUUUUGUUUUCUCGCGAUAAUUUUCGUCUCUUUUGUGUCGCUUUUUGUUUUCUCGCGAUAAUUUUCGUCUCUUUUGUGUCGCUGUUUGUGUGCAUGGGGUGAUUGGUCAUAAUAAUCGAAUAAUGCCUUCAUAAGUGCAGUGCUUCUGGGGACGCGCAGUCCUGUUUUCUCGCGACAAUUUUCGUCGUAAAUGAUCGUAAAAAUUUAACAUUCAGUUUUAGUAUUAACUCAUCAAACUAUCGAUUUUAUGAAGAGUAAAGCGUCAUUUAUUUACUAUUUUUGAAAUUUGCUCGCGUUAUCUAAAUGGUAAAAACAGUAAAAAUAUACUGAUAAGUCCAGCCCAUAGCACUACUGCUCGGCUGGCACGCGUACGAUAAAAAUAAACUAUUUUAAAUAAUCAAUUAUCUAUCUUUCCGCAGCCGGCUGCCUAAGAUUUAAAAAAUUUCAACCGAUAAACAAAAUGCUCAUGGUCACAUCACUGCCACUCGUGAAUCCUGACCUCAUACCCAUCUACUAACCCCCUCAAAACUCAUGUGAUACUUUGUGGGAGAAGCAGUCGAUUGGGCGGUCUCUAUCACUCAAGUAUCGGACUAACAUUCCCAUCCACUUCCCCGUGACCCUACCACUGGUCGUGGCCGGCGCCGGUAUUGAUCAGCAUGAUAGGGGCCUUUGAGAAGUUGCGAAGCGAGGAAAGAUAGCACCCACCCAUCUUCCACGGCUCGUGGAUGUAACUUCUGGAGGUCCUGGUCAAUAACGGAGUAGCAACUGCGGGUGGGCACCUAUGCUUAUGCUUAUGCUUAUGCUCGUACGUUCUGGUAGUAGAAUCGAAUGUGCUCACACGUUCCACUAGCGUUGGUGUCUGUUGACGAAGGCUGGAUAGGAGCCUACGAUUCCGGCAAAGGCUCACGGGCUGCUCGGCCAUGCUGGUGUCUUGUACUCGGUCGAGAACUGAAAGCUGGAGAAUUUUCAGAGCACGAAGUCAUUUGAUUUGAACGGUACUCGCCUGUGGGGGCGGCUUGGGAAACCCCCUCUCGAUCUCCGAACACAGGACCGGGACGGUUGGCUGGGAACUCGACUGCGACGGAGUGAUCGGGGGCUUUCAUAGUGCCGUAUACCGUGCGUCCCGGUGAUGGUCGUGUCGUCAGGUGGCUGUCUUGGCGUGGGUCACGUCGUUCAGGACAUGGGCUGGAAUCCGAGAAAAUGUUAAGGUCGAAACAGUCAUUCGAGCUGGUGAUUGGAUACUGGCCUGUGAAAGUAGGUUGGAAGACCCCCUCACGACAUCUGAACGCAGGUCCGGGACGGCUGUGCUGGUCGCUGGCUGGGAACGCGACUGCGUCAGAGCGUUUGGGGGCUUCCUUACGACCAUAUAACAUGCGCCCCGGUGAUGACAAGGCAGCAAUAUGAGAAGUCGUUCCGUGUAAGGCCAACCGAUGGCAAGAAUUCGAAGGACUGUCAGGGCACGGUAAAUCUGAUAACGGAUGGUACUCGCCUGUGAAUGUGGCCUGGAAGACCCCCUCCUGACACCCGAACACAGGCCCGGGACGGCUGUGCUGGUCGCUGGCUGAGAGCUCGACUGUGACGGGGUGAUUGAGAGCUUCCAUAGGAUUUUCUAACUGGCGUCCCGGUGAUGACAGAGCGGCAAAUGAUGGCUGACUAAGACGUUGCGAGAUUAUUCCAGGCGGCUCUGUUCGCUGCAUACAGAGCUUAGCUCUGUUCAACCAUACAGAGCAGGUAAAGAGUUUUUAUUGAGCAUGUAGACUAGGCCGUCCCAAAAAAAAUUAAAAGUUGUCAAAUCUUCGGUGCUCACCCCUAGAAUGAUAGAUUAGGAUGCCAGGAACAAUGUUUUCAUACAACAAAAAAAUCCCAGAAAUGGUUUACAACUCGCGCGCGGAGCUUGAAUGAAAAUGGUGCAUUUUUCGAGUAUUUUUCAGAAAUGUGCGUAACAAUCAUACUAAAGUCAUUCAAAUUUGGUCGCCUUGGGCUUCAAGUUAUAGUUUAAUGUCCCCUGAACAAAUUCCUGUACAGACAUAGUCCAUAAAAGCUUGUGUUUGGGCAUGGCAGGGCGUUUUAGGGAGAAAAAUGUGUAUUUUUAGGCAAAAAAUUUCAAAAAUCGCUCCCCAAAACGAGCCAAAAAAUUUUGCAGCCAAAACUAAUGCAUUCAGCUUAUAGGAAAUUUUACGCAGAUCAUUUUGCUUUUUUUAACAUUCAAUUUAUGUCCACGCAAAGCCGAGAUAUUUGCAUUUUAGUGAACAAAAAGUGACGUUUUUUCAAAAUUCUUGGUAUAUAAGCGUUUUUAGUAUAAAACAUUGGCUACUAUGAUUAAAAACAGGAAGGCAUAUAUUUUGCUCGCUCAAAAACGAUAUUUGUUAAUAACCCAAGUAACCAUCCAGCACUAACAAAAGUCACAAAUCAGCAGUAAAUUGGCACCUCUAUUGCUGAUUAGCCAUUCAACAGCAUUGGUUAAUGCGAAUCAGCACUUAUUUAACAGCACAGUCAAAAGCUGUUAUAGUGCUGAUUUAAAGCCACGACUGGCAACACCUUCCAGAUUUUUUUUUUAUAAAACUGGCAACACGAUUCUGGUUAUGAGUGAAGAGUGAGAGAGAGGGAAAAAGCAAAACAAACUGUUCGCUCGCUCAGGCUCCUUCAAGUGGGCAGAUAUUUUUGAAAAUUCGCUCAAAUCCGAGCUCAAAUCUUUCCUUAUUUUGCAAUCUUUUCAUUAUUCCAACAUCGUCUCGUUUCAACCAUUCCAGUGAAAAGGCAGCUGGUGGUCCUGCGAUCAGCCCCACCCGGGUAAUGCUGCAGCAUUCGAUGGCCUGUGGGAUGUCCGGAACGUGCAAGGAAGUUGAAUGUAUGCUGUUCGACGACGAUCUGGGAGUCAGAAAUUUGGUUUGUGUGAACCGUGCGAAAAAUAGCUGAAUAAAAACAUUGUCCUAGGAGGUAACUGUAGGACAAUCAAAUAAAUGUAAAAAGUGAUUCAUUGUACACAAAAUUGCUUUAUAGAUAAAUAUGGUUUGUCAAAUAAAUCAAUUGUUUUCCAUUGGUUUCAAAAAAAGAGAAGAGAAAAACUUGUUAUUUUGUGUUGACACGAACUAAUAACCAGCUAUAAAAACACAUCAAACAUUACUUCUCAUUUAGCCGUGAGGACACGGGCUCUGGAAUCACCACAUCAGCGACGUCAACUACUAUAAUCACACAGAUGUUCUAAAAAUAAUCGUCUUCGUUCAUUCAGCAGGCAGUCGGUAACGCAGUAUAGUAAACAAACCAAAAAUAGAAUAGAGAGAACGUGGAGCGGGCAAUAUUUUUGCCUCUCUGUUUAUUUUUCCGCAGGGUUGGACAUCAAAAGUAGAGAACAGCACUAAACCAGCCGAGUAAAGUCCAAAAGCGGCCAUUAUUCAGCACUAUAGUAGCUGUCAGUGCUGAGGCAAAAACUGUUUAGCUUUUACCCGUAGCUGUAAAAGCGCAUUUAGUGCCGAAGUAUAGCUGAUUAUUAGUGCUGGAUGGUUACUUGGGAACAUUUCAUGAAAAAACAUGACAUUUUCUCACAGUGUGACGUAAACGACAAAUAAUCAUAAAUCAAAAUUAAUUUUAUUAAAGUUCAUAUCUCCAUGCUGUAAACGUGAUUUUUUUGUAUGUACAUUCGAAUGAAACAAAUUUAUUUAUAAAAAAAACUAUUUUUUUCAAAAAAAGUUACCCCUUAGAGCGUUAUUUGUUCAUAUCUACAAGAGCACAGAGCAGUACUUAUAAAUAUGUCGUUUACGUCACACUGUGAGAAAAUGUCAUGUUUUUUAAUGAAAUGUUAUUAACAAAUAUCGUUUUUGAGCGAGCAAAAUAAAAAUAUCCAAAAUAUAUGCCUUACCGUUUGUAAUCAUAGUAGCCAAUGUUUUAUGCUAAAAACGCUUAUAUACCAAGAAUUUUGAAAAUUCGUCACUUUUUGUUCACUAAAAUGCAAAUAUCUCGGCUUUGCGUGGACAUAAAUUGAAUGUUAAAAAAAGCAAAAUGAUCUGCGUAAAAUUUCCUAUAAGCUGAAUGCAUUAGUUUUGGCUGCAAAAUUUUUUGGCUCGUUUUGGGGAGUGAUUUUUGAAAUUUUUUGCCUAAAAAAUACACAUUUUUCUCCCUAAAACGCCCUGCCAUGCCCAAACACAAGCUUUUAUGGACUAUGUCUGUACAGGAAUUUGUUCAGGGGACAUUAAACUAUAACUUGAAGCCCAAGGCGACCAAAUUUGAAUGACUUUAGUAUGAUUGUUACGCGCAUUUCUGAAAAAUACUCGAAAAAUGCACCAUUUUCAUUCAAGCUCCGCGCGCGAGUUGUAAACCAUUUUUGGGAUUUUUUUGUUGUAUGAAAACAUUGUUCCUGGCAUCCUAAUCUAUCAUUCUAGGGGUGAGCACCGAAGAUUUGACAACUUUUCAUUUUUUUGGGACGGCCUAAUGUAGACCUCGAUGCGUCUCUGCGUUAGGGACUACGUCAUCGUCAUCGUCAUCGCUUGUCCAGAUCGGCACAGCAUAAAGCAUGGCAGGUCUGAAAAUUUGUUUACAAAUUUACAGUUUAUUCAUGAGACAAAGUCUAGAAUUCCUGUUUAUAAGGGUCCUGUGGUCUAUUGGUUACAGGUUUCGUUUGAUAAACGGAAGGCCGUGGUUUGAAACCCACAUGGCUUGGCACCACCUUUCCUCGUACUUUUCACAAAAUGUGCUUGGAGGGACAAAAAAAAACUGCUUAGCAAGAGUCCCGGGCUUUCGGGAUUUCACUGGGAACACAUCCUAAGUAGCGUAAUAAAAAAGUGCACUUCAGUUCUGGCGACACAUAUGGAAAGUACAACAGCACAGGGGAAAGGAAAAAUGUUACGGCGUGUGGAUAGAUCAACACACUUGCUCAUCAAUAGCGCGUGUGCUUUGUUCUCCAAAUGCCGAAGAACAGCAAAUUGGCAGCCUCUGCAGAUCUAAAAAUAGAUCAGCAGGUCUACAAUAGAUCAAAUAAAUGGUCGCAGUGGACUCAUGGCAAUCAAACAAAAAAAAAAUGCUGACCGAAACCUGGCUGGCAGCUCAAUAAAUGCUGUGCAGCUGUUCGGGAAUGCUUUUGAAGUGUUCUCUACUCAUCGCAAUGCCAGAAACAGCCGUCGUACCGUGGGUGGCGGUGUACUCAUAGCUGUUCGGAAGUCCUUGGAUUCGACUGUAUGCGCUGAAGCUGCUGCUGUAAAUCUUGAACAAAUCUUCGUCAAAAUUCAGCUGAAGACGCAGAAGUUAUUUGCCGGCUGUCUCUAUCUACCUUCUGAAAAAAGUUACGAACAUCAAUUGGUGGACUUGCUGACCCAGGUGAUUAUAUUGUGGUCGCAACGCGAGUUUGCGCGAACUCAAAAAGCAACGAGCUGCUGCCCUCGAGCGAUACACCCAGCACCGCGGGCCGAUUACACAUGCUGUAUUCAAAGCUGCCAGUUCACGAUACAAAUCCUACAACAAGCGCUGUUACAAAAGCUACAUCCGCAAGACAUAAGCAAAUCUUCGUCGCAACCCGUCGCAGUUCUGGUCCUUUGCCGAAUCCAAAUACAAAGAAAAUGACCUGCCCGCUACUAUGGUUUAAGGUGAGACUGUAGCCAAAACGAACGCCGAAAAGUGCACCCUCUUCGCCCAACACUUUGCGUCUGUUUUUCAACAACCUGGUCCGGCGCCUGCCUCUGAACAGCAUCUGGAACUGGUACCGCGCGACAUCAUUUGUGCUCAAAUAGAGCUUUUGGGUUUGAUAUCACCUCGUCCGUCCUUGAGACUAACUUUUGUGAUGUAUCCCUGUUUACUCUACACAGUUAGCUGAUCGGCAAACUCGUUCCCCAUGAUCCCACAGUGCCCAGGUACUCAGGCGGGACAGCUCCCGUAGUACGUCGAUGCAGUCCUAAACGAGUUUGGACUCCACCCUUGCGGCUUUCAGAGCUAGCAGUGCUGCCUGGCUGUCCGAGAAUAUACCGAUUUUCGCAUGCCUAUAGUUCUUACUAAGGCAAUGCACAGUGCAGGAGUAUAUAGCAUAGACUUCUGCUUGGGGCCAUCUACCCAUUGAGAUGGAUAGUUUGAUCCCUGGUCUAAAGAUCCCAGCUCCAGUGAGAUUACCUAUUUUGGAGCCAUCUGUAUAGAAGCAGAUAGUUCCUGGUGGAAGUUCUGGCCCCCCAGCACACCAGAGCCUACGAGUUUCCCUUCGUUACCGACGUUUCGGCUUAUAUUUUGAAGCCUUCUUCAUAUACCGUGUGAAUUGUAACAACUGCGACAACAAAUACAUCGGCAUGACCAGCAAUCUCCUAAAAACAAGAUUGUCUGGACAUCGUAGCGAUGUCAACAGAUUGGACAAACUGCUACAAUCUGGACACAGCUACUCCGAUGUAGAAGUACAAGCGACAAGGGAGAAGACAGCUAUGAUAUCGCACUGUAUCGACAGUGGUCACCGUUUCGAUCUCACACAAGCAGAAAUAUUGGAUCAAACCUUUAAGAGGUCGUCUCUCUCACUCCUUGAGAUGAUUUGGAUCCAUAACACCCAAGACA